UACGUAGGGUGCAAGCGUUGUCCGGAAUUAUUGGGCGUAAAGAGCUCGUAGGCGGUUUGUCGCGUCUGCUGUGAAAACUCAGGGCUUAACCCUGAGCCUGCAGUGGGUACGGGCAGACUAGAGUGUGGUAGGGGAGAUCGGAAUUCCUGGUGUAGCGGUGGAAUGCGCAGGAUAUCAGGAGGAACACCGGUGGCGAAGGCGGGUCUCUGGGCCGUAACUGACGCUGAGGAGCGAAAGCGUGGGGAGCGAACAGG
rnacentral:rRNA from 1 species